rnacentral:rRNA from 1 species
AGAAUCAACGCUGGCGGCGUGCCUAACACAUGCAAGUCGAACGAGAAAGUGGAGCAAUCCAUGAGUAAAGUGGCGACCGGGUGAGUAACACGUGACUAACCUACCUUCGAGUGGGGAUAACCUCGGGAAACCGGGCUAAUACCGCAUAACAUCUUUGAAGUGGAAAUUUCGGAGAUCAAAGGAGCAAUUCGCUGGAAGAGGGGGUCGCGGCUGAUUAGCUAGUUGGCGGGUAACGGCCCACCAAGGCUUAGAUCGGUA